rnacentral:lncRNA from 1 species
UAUGUGUCAGUUGUGUCCUGACACACAUCAAAGGUAUUUUGGAAUGAAAUCCAGAAGUGUUGAAGUUGUAACAACCCCUUAGAAGCCUGGCAAGCAAACUUAGAGCACCAGCUUGUAUUUAUAGCCACUGUCAUCUCCGCCAAAGAGAAUGCAUCAGCUCCAGGCUAUACAGUAUUCCCUACACGGUUGCUUUUGUUCACACAAUAUUCACCAUGUUCUCCGGGUCUGCUGCAAAUCAUCUCUGUAAGACAGAAGAUAAUUUGAGGAGAGAACCACAUCCAAGCCUUCAUUGGCAGGGAAAAAAAAAAAAAAACAACAGAGCAACACGAAGAUAAAAAGGCAGCAGUCAGCUCAGUUCUGGGAGCACUGUACUAUCAGUCCGCUGCAAGCACAAGUCUUGUCUCAACUGCUUACUCCUGCCUAAAAUUGGUAAAGUAUCAUAGAUUUCCUACUGGGGCAUACUCAAUAGCAGUGCGAGUCCAGUGCUAAUGUAACAAGGAACAAGGGUGCUCUGCCAGCAUCACCUUUCUCAGUAAGUAUAUCUUGUGUUCAGAUCAUCUCCCUGCUCAUAGAAAUUUCUGGCUAAGUAACUUACCCAUUUUGCCCAAACC